rnacentral:rRNA from 1 species
UCAAUUGAGUCAGAUUGCGAAUCCCUAAGCUAACCUUAGAAUCUGCAUUGAAAUCUGAUAGCUUAGAGAUUUGUAGUGCGCGGGUAGAAUUGCAGGUGUAGCAGUGAAAUGCGUAGAGAUCUAGGAGGAAUACCAGUGGCGAAGGCGACCCCCUGGACAAAGACUGACACUCAUGUACGAAAGCGUGGGGAGCAAACAGGAUUAGAUACCCUGGUAGACCAUGCUGUAAACAAUGUCAAUUUGAAGGUUGUAGCCUUGAGUUAUAGCUUUGGUAGCUAACGCGUUAAAUUGAUCGCCUGGGGAGUACGGCCGCAAGGUUAAAUCUCAAAUGAAUUGACGGGGGCCCGCACAAGCGGUGGAGCAUGUGGUUUAAUUCGAUGCAACGCGAAAAACCUUACCUAUUCUUGACAUCCAAAGAAUAAAACAGAAAUGUUUUAGUGCCUUAGGGAACUUUGAGACAGGUGCUGCAUGGCUGUCGUCAGCUCGUGUUGUGAAAUGUUGGGUUAAGUCCCGCACCGAGCGCAACCCCUAUCCUUUGUUGCCAUCGAGUAAAGUCGGGAACUCAAAGGAGACUGCUGGUGAUAAACCGGAGGAAGGUGGGGACGACGUCAAGUCAUCAUGGCCCUUACGAAUAGGGCUACACACGUGCUACAAUGGCAUAUACAAAGAGAAGCGAUCUUGCAAAAGCUAGCAAAUCUCAUAAAGUAUGUCGUAGUUCGGAUUGGAGUCUGCAACUCGACUCCAUGAAGUCGGAAUCGCUAGUAAUCGUAGAUCAGAAUGCUACGGUGAAUACGUUCCCGGGCCUUGUACACCCCCCCGUC